GGCCGUUUUGGAGGCGGGGCUUCUUCUUGGCUGUAAAUUGUAAAAUUUGCCUCAGACAAUCUCGGGACGCCGAGAGAGAAGGCAGCUUGGCCUGGGAGCCAUUCUGAAGGCCUGGGUCGGAAGAAAGAAAGAAAGAAAGAAAGAAAGGGCAGCCGCGGCUAGAAGGCCCGAAGAGACAGGCUCCGUUUCUGAAGCAGAAAUGGCAAAGCCUUGUGAAACGGACGGAAGAAAUAAAGGCAAAAUUUUUGAAAAUUUCCACAGCUUUUUCUGAAGGGACCAGCGCUGAAUUCAAGUCAACGUGAAGAAAGAAACAAAAGGUCGAGAGACAGAGGACGGAAGAUGCUUGAAGACACCCUCGCAAGGACACCGCCUGCCUCCCAAAAAAGGUCGUUUUCAGGGUAAUUGGUGUAAGGGUAGGCAUUUAAUGUCUAUCUUUGCAUUAAAAAAAGGGUUACCUUUGCACACGGUUCCCCUCGCGUGUGGCAUCGAAGAAGUCCCACUCGGGAACGGACGGGUCCUCCCUUUGUUCUAGGCAGAUGAUGGGUCUUCCUAUACGGGCCGUAGGGGUCACAGCUUGGGGGUCAGCGGGGGGGCCCGCCCUGGCAUCGCGGGGGGCAGCACACGUUACGGGCAUUUUAAGAUGUCCUUGCAACUUAGAAAUAAAAAUAUUAAUACCUUAACUCACUUACUAACAUCCUACUAACACCAUUCUAAAUAGGGUACCCUGCCCUUUUAAAUAGGACUGUGUUCUGCCUGAUGGCAAGAACCAAGCUGGGAAGGGAGGGGGCCUCCUGGCCCCCCAUAAAAGGGCCCCCAUGGAAGGACAUUGCAAAAGGCCCCUAAGGUGUCCUGAGAGCAGCCUCUUGGUCCUUAGUGUGUUCCCCACGGUGCCAGGGCUGGGCCCCUUGCUCUCCCCCAACCCAUGGACCCUGCCGCUUGUAUAUCAUCCGUCCAGGGCCAACGGACGCCCCCUCCCUCCCCGGGCGGAGCUUCGAGGCCACACUCAAGGGGAGACCAGAGCCGUGUGCCUCAUGCCAACGCCUAGCACGUGGCAAACCUUUUUUUUUUUACUGCAAACAUAGGCAUCAUGAUUGUGAUUUUUGUUAAUUCCUUUUAAAUUUAAUUGUUUGUAUUUGAUAGCAUGGUAGGCUGGUUUUAUAUCAGUGAGCCGCCCCGAGUCCCUCUGGGGAGACGGUGGCAGGGUACAAAAAUAAAAUUAUUAUUAUUACUAUUAUUGAUUCGAGGCACCUGGAAAAAGAAAUACCAGGAAGCAGAUAAAAUUAUUAUUAUUAUUAUUAUUAUUAUUAUUGAUUACAGGCACCUGGAAAAAGAAAUACCAGGAAGCAGAUAAAAUUAUUAUUAUUAUUAUUGUUGAUUACAGGCACUUGGAAAAAGAAAUACCAGGAAGCAGAUAAAAUUAUUAUUAUUAUUGAUUCCAGGAAAAAGAUAUACCAGGAAGCAGAUAAAAUUAUUAUUGUUAUUGUUGUUAUUAUUAUGUAGGACCCCCUUUUAUUUAUGUAAGGCCACACACCCAGGGGACCACUAUUCCUAAUUAAAGCCUGGUUAAAAGGGAUCCUCUAUUCUUAAAGUUAGGCGUAUAGAGAUCUCCUAUCCAGAAACUAAUGCGGCCUGCCCUAUAGAGAUCUGUUAAACCAAGGCGGCCUGCCCUAUAGAGAUCUCCUAUUUCACGUAACACCAGGCAAUAUGGAGAUCCCUGGUUUUUUUAACCGUUAAAUCCCUUACGUGGGGAUAUCCCUGGUUAUUUUAACCGUUAAAUCCCUUACGUGGGGAUAUCCCUGGUUAUUUUAACCUUUAAGUCCCUUACGUGGGGAAAUCCCUGGUUAUUUUAACCUUUAAGUCCCUUACGUGGGGAUAUCCCUGGUUAUUUUAACCGUUAAAUCCCUUACGUGGGGAAAUCCCUGGUUAUUUUAACCUUUAAAUCCCUUACGUGGGGAAAUCCCUGGUUUUUUUAACCUUUAAGGCCAGAUGUGGGGAUUUCCUUGCUUCUUUUAACCCGUGAGGCCAGCCAUGGGGAGAUAUCUUAGGCUGUUUUCAUGAAAAGUCAGGUAUAGACGCACUGUUUUCUCUCCCGUUCCAUGUGCCUGGACUCCCGGAGGGCUCCUGCCGGACACCGUCUCCCAUCGGCCGAGAGGGAUCCUUCCUGUCUGGGAAGGAUCUGCAACACAGGUAAAAAGAAGAUUCCGGGAAGGAGAUUCUACAGCGGAGCCCUUAAGCCAGGUGAGACACUCCUUCCAGCCUCCACGGCUGCCUUGCACACACACACACACACACACACACACACAUGACACACACAAACACACACGACACACACAAACACAUACACAUGUACAGCUGGUGCCCACGGGGACUCUUCCCCAAUAGAUCGGGGACUCCCACUCCGGCGAUUGGCCAUUGUAAAUGCCUUGAAGCAGUUUGGGGCUUCCGGCCAAGCGCUUGCAAAGAGAAUCCAUUCAAGGUUGGACCCCUUUUAAAGGGCCUGGCACGGGGGACCCCAGAUUAUUAACUUGAGGCCUGGGAAAAGGAGAUUUUUGUAUUUAUUUAUUACAAUAUUUAUAUCCCGCCCUCUCUCCCCUUAAAAGGGGACUCAGAGCAGCUUACGUUAUAUUUACAUAUUUAUUUAUUACAAUAUUUAUAUCCCAACCUCUCCCCUUAAAAGGGGACUCAGAGCGGCUUACAAGUUAUAUUUACAUAUUUAUUUAUUACCAUAUUUAUAUCCCUCCCUCUCUCCCCUUAAAAGGGGACUCAGAGCGGCUUACAAGUGAUAUUUACAUAUUUAUUUAUUACAAUAUAUCCGGCCCUCUCUCCCCUUAAAAGGGGACUCAGAGCGGCUUACAAGUGAUAUUUACAUAUUUAUUUAUUACAAUAUAUCCGGCCCUCUCCCCUUAAAAGGGGACUCAGAGCGGCUUACAAGUGAUAUUUACAUAUUUAUUUAUUACAAUAUUUAUAUCCGGCCCUCUCUCCCCUUAAAAGGGGACUCAGAGCGGCUUACAAGUGAUAUUUACAUAUUUAUUUAUUACAAUAUAUCCGGCCCUCUCUCCCCUUAAAAGGGGACUCAGAGCGGCUUACAAGUGAUAUUUACAUAUUUAUUUAUUACAAUAUAUCCGGCCCUCUCCCCUUAAAAGGGGACUCAGAGCGGCUUACAAGUGAUAUUUACAUAUUUAUUUAUUACAAUAUUUAUAUCCGGCCCUCUCUCCCCUUAAAAGGGGACUCAGAGCGGCUUACAAGUGAUAUUUACAUAUUUAUUUAUUACAAUAUAUCCGGCCCUCUCUCCCCUUAAAAGGGGACUCAGAGCGGCUUACAAGUGAUAUUUACAUAUUUAUUUAUUACAAUAUAUCCGGCCCUCUCCCCUUAAAAGGGGACUCAGAGCGGCUUACAAGUGAUAUUUACAUAUUUAUUUAUUACAAUAUUUAUAUCCGGCCCUCUCUCCCCUUAAAAGGGGACUCAGAGCGGCUUACAAGUGAUAUUUACAUAUUUAUUUAUUACAAUAUUUAUAUCCGGCCCUCUCUCCCCUUAAAAGGGGACUCAGAGCGGCUUACAAGUGAUAUUUACAUAUUUAUUUAUUACAGUAUUUAUAUCCCUCCCUCUCUCUCCUUAAAAGGGGACUCAGAGUGGCUUACAAGUUAUAUUUACAUAUUUAUUUAUUACAAUAUAUCCCGCCCUUCUCACCCAACAGGGGACUCAGGGCGGCUCAACAAUAAGACGCAUAUAUAAAAACCACACAGUGCAAUAUAAAUCAUCACUAACUUACAUCAGUAUUCAUAAAACACAUUAUAAAAUACAGAUAGGUGUGUUCAGUUCAAAUCCAUUCAAGGUAUACGUGGACCCCCUUUUAAUGCCAACCUUUCCACGUGGAAAACUAUUUGUAAGGCAAACCCUCGUUAAAGGAGGUUUGCAAUUAAUUUAAAACCAGGCUUCUGAGGGAUCCGCUGCGUUUAAAGCCAAACCUAGCAGGUGGGAACCCCUUUGGUUAACGCAAGGUGAGGGACCCUCCAUUUUUAAUAGGAUGCCUGGGAGAAUCUUAACCUAAAAGCAGGCCUAUGGGCUACAGCCUAUUCUGCAUAGCCAGGCAUGGGGGGACCCCAUAUGAUUAAUUUGAAGCCUGGUAAAAGGAGAUUUUUGUAUUUAUUACAUUUAUAUCCCGCCCUCUCCCCUUAAAAGGGGACUCAGAGCGGCUUACGAGUUAUAUUUACAUAUUUAUUUAUUUAUUACAAUAUUUAUAUCCCGCCCUCUCUCCCCUUAAAGGGGACUCAGGGCAGCUUAACAAUAAGACGCAUAUAUAAAAAACCAUACAGUGCAAUGUAAGUCAUCAUUAACUUACAUCAGUAUUCAUAAAACACAUCAUAAAAUACAGAUAGGUGUAUUACAUACACUGUAUCAUUAGCAUCGCACAAUAUUAGCAUUAUAUAUUACUACAUUGCAUUAUACCACUAUACAGAAAUGUUAUUAGCAAUAUUACAUUUAAUAUAUUAUAUGUAAUUCAUAUUAUUAUAUUGUAUCAUUGUUAGUAUUAUAUUGCAUUAUUUAUUUAUUUGCUAGAUGUAUAUGCUGCCCUUCUCACCCCCAAGGUGAACAGCUUACAAAAUAAAUUUACAUACAAUAUUAUAUUAUUACCAUAGUACAAUACUGGCAGUAAAUUACUAUAUUGUACUAUAUGAAUAUAUGGUAAUGUUAUUAGUAGUAUUACAUGCAAAAUGUAAUACAUAAUUAAUAUUAUAUUUUAUUAUUAGUAUAUCGUAUUACAAUAUAAUAAUAUGAACAUUAUAUGUAUAUGCAAUAUGUUAUAAUUAUAUAUUAAAUUAUAUAUAUACACACACACACACACAGUAGUCAUCCAACAUAAAAGGGCCAGCGAAUAUUUAUUUAUUUAUUUACAGCAUUUUACCGGGCUGGCCUCAAACUCAUGACCUCCUGGUCAGAGUGAUUUGUUGAUAUUUAUUUAUUUACAGCAUUUAUAUUCCGCCCUUCUUUCUCACCCCGAAGGGGACUCAGGGCGGAUCACAUGACACAUAUAGGCAAACAUUCAAUGCCUUUUAACAUAGAACAAAGACAAACAAACAGGCUCCGAGCGGGCCUCGAACUCGUGACCUCCUGGUCAGAGUGAUCCAUUGCAGUUAAUUGCAGCUGGCUUGCUUUCCAGCCUGCGCUGUUGGAUAAUAAGGAGGCAUUAUGGAAAAGCCUAUUAAACAUCAAAUUAGUUGGUGAUUUUACAAAUUAAGCACCAAAACAUUUGACAGAAAAAGUAGCUCAAUAUGCAGUAAUGCUAUGUAGUAAUUACUGUAUUUACGGAUUUAGCACCAAAAUAUCACAACGCAUUGAAAACAUGGACUACAAAAAUGCGUUGGAUAAUCCAGAAUGUUGGAUAAUCCAGAAUGUUGGAUGAGACUCUACUGUAUAUACAAUAUAAAUUAGAAUAGCAUGUUAUUGGGGGAGGAGCAUCUUGGUUCUUAGAUGUUUAUAUUAGUUAUUGAUAUUAGUAUAGAUAUGACAUUGAGUAUAUUAUUAUCCUAGCACAAUGUUAAUAUUAGUUAUUCAUAUUAGUCUCAAUAUGACAUUAAUAGAGUAUAUUAUUAUCCUAGCACAAUGUUAUUACAUAGGACUAUGUUGUUGCGAGGGGGAGGGCCCCCCCACUGAGAUCCCCUGUCAUUAAUGUGUCAGACCAGGCAUUUCACUCCUACCUUUGCAUCAGAAAGCAGGCUCCCUGUGCGCUAGGCCUUCCUUUGAGGAACACAUUCACGGCUCCGCUUGAGUGUGGCAUUGAGGCCCCACUCUGGGACGGGCGGGUCCUCCCUUUGCCCUGGGCAGAUCGUGGGGGGUGGGCGGAUCUCCCUAGACGGGCAGGGGGUCGCGGCUGGCGGGACAGCGGGAUAUAAAAAUAUAAAUAUAUAUAUUAAAACCCUUGCACCCAAGGAAACAACUCUGGGGACCCGAGCGGCCGCUCCCAGUGCACGUCACGGGCAUUUUAAACAUCUCGUAGCAGCUCAGAUUAAUACCUGAACUAACCUUAACCUGCUAACCCUACUAACCCAAUUCUUAACUAGAGCAGCACUUGUAAAUAGGGCUGUUUUUGCCUGUUGGCAAGAACCAAGUUGGGAGGGGGCCUCCGGGCCUCGGGUGGGAAGAAGGCCCCCCUGUCCCUGCCCUGCGCUGGGAGCGCCCCCCCUCGGGACCCCAGUGUUUAGGUCGCCGGAUUGGAGGAGAGCGGGGACCAGAAAGCCCCUCCGCCAUCCGCCCAGGGCCAAUGGACGCCCCUCCCUCCCUCCCUCCCCGGCAGCCGCGUUCCUCAUGCAACAGGGAGCCUGGUUCUGGAUGCAAACGUGGGACCCCCUUAGGACCCCCUUUUCUCUGUGCAGGGACCCCCACUCCCCAUAAAUAAAUGCCUGGUGGAAGGGGAUCCUCUGUCCUGGGGAGAAAAAGCGACAUGCGUCAAGCUGUGGCUUUGCUCCCGCAGUUCCCAAGAGCCCCCAAAAGCGAGAUGCUCCCUUGGUUCUGCCCUUCUGACACUUGUUUUCUCCCUUGUUCCAUGUCUCCGGAAUCGCCGAGGGAGGGGCUCCUCCUGGACAAGAGCCACGGACGGACGGACAGACGGACGGAGAUCACGGAGAGCAGGACGCCUGGCCUUUCCGGAUGCUGAGCUCGACCCCUUUCCAACAAUGUCAGCGUUUAAGAAUAAAACUUCCCAAAAAAAGGUGUUUUCUGGUUAUUAUUCAAACAUUGAAUUUUUGGCAGCCUUAAACAUCUAGAUUACAAUACAGUUUGUGCUGCUGCAUUUUACAAACCUGACCUUGUUUUCUACAAAUAAAGUUGAGAGAAACACCUGUGUAAGUUUUGCACUAGGCUCAGACUCAUUGUUCUGAUAGGCUGUUAUAUGGUUAUUAUUGAAAGGCAUAAUGUUUUUGGCAGCAUUAAACAUCUAGAUUACAAUACAGUUUGUGCUGCUGCCUUUUAUAAACCUCGUUUUCUACAAAUAAAGUCAAGAGAAACACUAAGUUUUGCACUGUGCUCAGACUCAUUGUUCUGAUAGGCUGUUAUAUGGUUAUUAUUGAAAGGCAUAAUGAGUUUUUGGCAGCAUGAAACAUCUAGAUUACAAUACACUUUGUGCUGCUGCCUUUUAUAAAUCUUGUUUUCUACAAAUAAAGUUGAGAGAAACACCUGUAUAAGUUUUGCAGUCAUUGUUCUGAUAUUCUGUUAUAUGGUUUUAUUGUUAAUAUUGUUUUUAAUGUAUGACUAUUACAUGUGACAUGGGAGCAGGAUAUAAAAAUGAAGUAUUAUUAAUAAACACCACAAUUUUCUUGCACCCCAAGUACAUCUGGCCAUUGCCAAAAAGUAUUUAACUCUGCCUACAUGGCACUAAAGUGUAUUUAUAUGUUGAUUUGUUUCUAUUGAUUGUAUGUAAUGUUUGCUUUAUUUGCAUUGAAUUUUUGCCUAGAUGUAUCUUGUAUGCCGCUCAUCUCCAUAAAUGAGCGGGAUACAAAUGAGGUUAAUAAUGUUACGAAUGUUUUAAUGUAACUUGAAUUUUAAAUUGAAUUGAAAUGUGAUUGUAAUUGUUUAUAAGUGUGUUAUCUAUUUGUCAGCCACCCUGAUUCUCCCCUUAUUGGGUGAGAAGGUCUGGGAAGAAAUUCAUAAAUAAAUAAAAUAUUCUGUGUCCAGGUUGCUUCAUGGGUUGACUUCUCUGGCAGGAUUAGUCUGCAGGGCCUUUCCUGUGGGCAAGUUUACACGGACUACCAAGCAUGGAGCAGGCAAGGCACUGCAGACACUCCUGCGCAUGCGCGGGCUGCUCCCUAUUCGUAUGAACCUGGCCCCGCCCACUACAGGCAUUUUCUCUUCGACUGCGCGGCCUCCAUAUUUGAGGGAACUUGGCCCCGCCCACUACAGGCACCCCUUUCCCUUCUGCGGCUGCGCGGCCUCCGUCACAGGGCGGCAAGAUGGUUUCCCGGCCCGAAAGUGAGUGACGGCACGGUCCCCAAGCGGAAGCGGAAGCGCAUCUCCGAAGGGAACUCCGUCUCGUCCUCCUCGUCAUCCUCCUCCUCUUCCCACCUGGAGACCACGUCAAACAACAACCAGUUUCCCCUGAUGGUAAGUCAUUAUCCUCCUCACCGUAGCAAGUUUGGGAGUCAAUUUCAAAAUAAUUCCAAUAAAAUGUCAUUACUUGAAGCAUCA